rnacentral:rRNA from 1 species
GCUUACGGCCAUACCACCCUGAACACGCCCGAUCUCGUCUGAUCUCGGAAGCUAAGCAGGGUCGGGCCUGGUUAGUACUUGGAUGGGAGACCGCCUGGGAAUACCAGGUGCUGUUAGCU